AACGAACGCUGGCGGCAUGCCUAACACAUGCAAGUCGAACGAACCCUUCGGGGUUAGUGGCGCACGGGUGCGUAACGCGUGGGAAUCUGCCCUUUGCUUCGGAAUAACAGUUAGAAAUGACUGCUAAUACCGGAUGAUGUCUUCGGACCAAAGAUUUAUCGGCAAAGGAUGAGCCCGCGUAGGAUUAGGUAGUUGGUGGGGUAAAGGCCUACCAAGCCGACGAUCCUUAGCUGGUCUGAGAGGAUGAUCAGCAACACUGGGACUGAGACACGGCCCAGACUCCUACGGGAGGCAGCAGUGGGGAAUAUUGGACAAUGGACGCAAGUCUGAUCCAGCAAUGCCGCGUGAGUGAUGAAGGCCUUAGGGUUGUAAAGCUCUUUUACCAGGGAUGAUAAUGACAGUACCUGGAGAAUAAGCUCCGGCUAACUCCGUGCCAGCAGCCGCCGUAAUAC
rnacentral:rRNA from 1 species